AUUGAACGCUGGCGGUAGGCCUAACACAUGCACGUCGAACGAGUGGCGGACGGGUGAGUAAUGUCUGGGAAACUGCCCGAUGGAGGGGGAUAACUACUGGAAAGGGUAGCUAAUACCGCAUACCAUCGGAUGUGCCCAGAUGGGAUUAGCUAGUUGGUGGGGUAACGGCUCACCUAGGCGACGAUCCCUAGCUGGUCUGAGAGGAUGACCAGCCACACUGGAACUGGGACACGGUCCAGACUCCUACGUGAGGCAGCAGGGGGGAAUAUUGGACAAUGGGCGCAAACCUGAGGCAGCCAUGCCGCGUGUAUGAAGAAGGCCUUCGGGUUGUAAAGUACUUUCAGCGGGGAUGCGUUACUCGCAGAAGAAGCACCGGCUAACUCCGUGCCAGCAGCCGCGGUAAUUC
rnacentral:rRNA from 1 species